rnacentral:rRNA from 1 species
AGUGAACGCUGGCGGUAGGCCUAACACAUGCAAGUCGAACGGCAGCACAGUAAGAGCUUGCUCUUACGGGUGGCGAGUGGCGGACGGGUGAGGAAUACAUCGGAAUCUACUUUUUCGUGGGGGAUAACGUAGGGAAACUUACACUAAUACCGCAUACGACCUACGGGUGAAAGCAGGGGAUCUUCGGACCUUGCGCGAUUGAAUGAGCCGAUAUCGGAUUAGCUAGUUGGCGGGGUAAAGGCCCACCAAGGCGACGAUCCGUAGCUGGUCUGAGAGGAUGAUCAGCCACACUGGAACUGAGACACGGUCCAGACUCCUACGGGAGGCAGCAGUGGGGAAUAUUGGACAAUGGGCGCAAGCCUGAUCCAGCCAUACCGCGUGGGUGAAGAAGGCCUUCGGGUUGUAAAGCCCUUUUGUUGGGAAAGAAAAGCAGCAGGUUAAUACCCCGCUGUUCUGACGGUACCCAAAGAAUAAGCACCGGCUAACUUCGUG